UACGAAGGGGGCUAGCGUUGCUCGGAAUCACUGGGCGUAAAGGGUGCGUAGGCGGGUCUUUAAGUCAGGGGGGAAAUCCUGGAGCUCAACUCCAGAACUGCCUUUGAUACUGAAGAUCUUGAGUUCGGGAGAGGUGAGCGGAACUGCGAGUGUAGAGGUGAAAUUCGUAGAUAUUCGCAAGAACACCAGUGGCGAAGGCGGCUCACUGGCCCGAUACUGACGCUGAGGCACGAAAGCGUGGGGAGCAAACAGG
rnacentral:rRNA from 1 species